AGCUUUGCGCAGUGGCAGUAUCGUAGCCAAUGAGGUUUAUCAGAGGCGCGAUUAUUGCUAAUUGAAAACAGUGGAUAUAUUUUAAUUGAACUUUUCUGUUUUACAACAUGAGUUAAAAGGAAAUACAGUUUUCCUUCACUGGU